ACAAGAAACUAAGCCUAUUUGUGUUGAAGAAAGUUUGGAGUUUCUUGAAAUAAUUGAACUUCAGAUGGCAAAUAGUGGAAGAAACUCUUCCACUGUUGAUCUAUGAUUGACUUGCAAGUCUCAAGUAUUUGAUAGUGGUUAAAGAGUCAAGACAAUGAAUAAAGGCGUAAAAUACAAAGUUUUGUUAGUGUUUUUGUUGGCACUUGAAACUUGAAAGUGAUCUCAUGGAAGAGAGUCAAGAAACUACAUUGUUGCUCAUUAUUGUUAUUUGUUAUUGUUGGCAUUUGAAAAUGAUCUCAUGGAAGAAGCUACAUUAUUUGUUGCUCAUUAUUGUUGUUUGUUAUUGUUGGCACUUGAAACUUGAAAAUGGUCUCAUGGAAGAAACUACGUUAGUGAAUUAU